UAGAUUGUAUCCUGCUGUUUGUGUGUUUUUGGUUAUCAGUGUAGCAGAGCCUGUCCUUGGGUGUGUGUGUAUCGGUGUUGGUGUGGCAGAGCCUGUCCUGGUGUGUGUAUAGGUGUUGGUGUGGCAGAGCCUGUCCUGAUGUGUGUGUUCAGUUGUCAGUGUGGCAGAGCCUGUCCUAGGGUGUGUGUUUGGAUGUCAGUGUGUCAGAGCCUGUCCUGGUGUGUGUGUGUCUGUGUGACAGAGCCUGUCCUGGUGUGUGUGUGUGUUUGGUUGUCGGUGUGACAGAGCCUGUGUUGGAAUGUGUGCCCUCCUGAAGUUGUAGUGACUUCAGGGGACAAAACGUUCAAAACGACAAAACGUUCAAGGCCCUGAAAUCAUUUAGUGGAAAA